UGAAAAUGUACAUCUCAGUGCAUGCUGUUAUGCCAGCGCUCUUUGGAAUGUAGGGUCUGAGGAUGCAAAAGAAAAGUACGAGUCACUGAGGAGACAGGAGGAGAUCUGGCAGAGAGACGAGUCCCUGAGGAGACAGGAGGACAUCUGGAAGAGAGACGAGUCCCUGAGGAGACAGUCCCUGAGGAGACAGGAGGAGAUCUGGCAGAGAGAUGAGUCCCUGAAGAGACAGGGGGACAUCUGGCAAAGAGACGAGUCACUGGGGAGACAGGAGGAGAUCUGGCAGAGAGAUGAGUCCCUGGGGAGACAGGAGGAGAUCUGGCAGAGAGACGAGUCCCUGAGGAGACAGGAGGACAUCUGGCACAGAGAGGUGGAAGAGUCUCUGUCCUACUGCCGGCCUCUCUCCCGCCCCAAACACGUCGACUUCCUCAGGAUCACACCUCUGGAAGAUGACAUCACCAGCGACUCACCUUUCUCCCCACUGCGAGUGAGUGUCAAUGAUGUGGUAGAUAUUACCCCUCUUGAUUUUUUUUUUAACCUUUAUUUAACCAGGCAAGUUAAAGAACAAAUUCUUAUUUUCAAUGACGGCCUAGGAACAGUGGGUUAACUGCCUGUUCAGGGGUAGAACGACAGAUUUGUACCUUGUCAGCUCUAACCACUAGGCUACCCUGCCGCCCCACAUUGUUUUAGGGACACAGAUGCCAAAAGCUAACAUAUGAAGAAGUUUAUUUCCAAAACGCUAUAUCCACCAAUUUUUCACAUUUGUGUUUUUUUUUUAAUCAGAAAUGAUUGAUUAACUCAAAACAUAUUAACUCUAAGUAGUUA
rnacentral:lncRNA from 13 species